AUUGAACGCUGGCGGCAGGCCUAACACAUGCAAGUCGAGCGGAUGACGGGAGCUUGCUCCUUGAUUCAGCGGCGGACGGGUGAGUAAUGCCUAGGAAUCUGCCUGGUAGUGGGGGACAACGUUUCGAAAGGAACGCUAAUACCGCAUACGUCCUACGGGAGAAAGCAGGGGACCUUCGGGCCUUGCGCUAUCAGAUGAGCCUAGGUCGGAUUAGCUAGUUGGUGGGGGAAUGGCUCACCAAGGCGACGAUCCGUAACUGGUCUGAGAGGAUGAACAGUCACACUGGAACUGAGACACGGUCCAGACUCCUACGGGAGGCAGCAGUGGGGAAUAUUGGACAAUGGGCGAAAGCCUGAUCCAGCCAUGCCGCGUGUGUGAAGAAGGUCUUCGGAUUGUAAAGCACUUUAAGUUGGGAGGAAGGGCAGUAAGUUAAUACCUUGCUGUUUUGACGUUACCGACAGAAUAAGCACCGGCUAACUCUGUGCCAGCCGCCGCGGUAA
rnacentral:rRNA from 1 species